UACGGAGGAUGCGAGCGUUAUCCGGAUUUAUUGGGUUUAAAGGGUGCGUAGGCGGACCAGUAAGUCAGCGGUGAAAUGUCCCGGCUCAACCGGGUCACUGCCGUUGAUACUGCUGGACUGGAGUACAAACGGCGCAGGCGGAAUGUGUCAUGUAGCGGUGAAAUGCAUAGAUAUGACACAGAACACCGUUCGCGAAGGCGGCUUGCGAGCAUGGUACUGACGCUGAGGCACGAAGGCGUGGGGAU
rnacentral:rRNA from 1 species